rnacentral:rRNA from 1 species
CUACGUGCCAGCAGCCGCGGUAAUACGUAGGGUGCGAGCGUUAAUCGGAAUUACUGGGCGUAAAGCGAGCGCAGACGGUUACUUAAGCAGGAUGUGAAAUCCCCGGGCUCAACCUGGGAACUGCGUUCUGAACUGGGUGACUAGAGUGUGUCAGAGGGAGGUAGAAUUCCACGUGUAGCAGUGAAAUGCGUAGAGAUGUGGAGGAAUACCGAUGGCGAAGGCAGCCUCCUGGGAUAACACUGACGUUCAUGCUCGAAAGCGUGGGUAGCAAACAGGAUUAGAUACCCUGGUAGUCCACGCCCUAAACGAUGUCAAUUAGCUGUUGGGCAACUUGAUUGCUUAGUAGCGUAGCUAACGCGUGAAAUUGACCGCCUGGGGAGUACGGCCGCAAGGUUAAAACUCAAAUGAAUUGACGGGGGCCCGCACAAGCGGUGGAGCAUGUGGUUUAAUUCGAUGCAACGCGAAGAACCUUACCAGGUCUUGACAUCCCUCKACCGCUCUAGAGAUAGAGUUUUC